GCCGGGCACAGUGGCGUGUGCCUGUAGUCCCAGCAACUCAGGAGGCUGAGGCAGGAGGAUGGCUUGAGCUUAGGAGGGCGAGGCUCCAGUGAGCUAGGAUCACACUAUUGCACUCUAGCCCGGGCAACAGAGCAAGACCCUGUCUCUG
rnacentral:SRP_RNA from 1 species